CCCUGCCCGGCUGAGGGAACGCCCGCCGGCCCGCGGUGUUUUAAACGUGAAAGCGCCCCUUCACUGUCCCCGAGUGCUUCAGACCCGCUGGGCGGCAGUGAGACGAAAUAAGCGUCUGUCCUUGUGCUGUGGUGUUCUGUACGCUGAGAAGACGGCUGCUGGCACCUCAGGGCGCGUUACCGUGCCUUGGCCGCUCAGCCUGCACUGCUCGGUGUGAUUCAUCCCGGUGAUGAUCGAACUGAACGUGAACAGAGAUCGCCGCGUCAGACGAAAAUUGAAUUGCGUCUUCAGUGAUGCUACAAAAUCAUUGAAAUGUACUCAAUGAUAAGUUUUUUUCUGGAGUUGUACCGUUAACUUUUGCACGGCUGGAAUACCAGCGGGUUGCUCUGGUUUGGCUUUCGUCUCUCCUUGCAACACGUCUGAUACUUUUAAGGAGCGCUGGCACGUACCAGCUUCCCUCUCGUGGUUCUGUGUCGCUGUUUUUGCCCAGUGGCUGGUGCCGCCCACUCCAGUGACCCACACAGCGCCGUGUUUGGAGAUCCCCACAGGAAUGCAGUCGGGAGUCAGCAGUGCCACUGCUGUUCUCUCAGGGUGGGCGGAUCUCCCCCCUAAACCUCAGGAGUCAGACAGGAACUGGGUUCAACGCUCCUCUUUGUUCCCAUCAAGUUUGAGAUGACAUCUGCCAGGAUAUGGAUUUAAGUCAGCAGUCUGGAAGUGAAAUCCCAUAGAACUGGGUAUGGAAACAAGCAGUGGAAAGGCUAAAACCUCUUAAGGGCAAGGUAAACAAAUAGGAGGGAAAAAAGAGUAAGACAGUCUUUUCAGACAAAGGAACAGGUGAGUAUUAAUGUACAGUCAUUUAAAAUUUCUGACAGGAUAAAAACAGACGGUAUUAGUUGCAUGUUAAGCAAGUUAAAAUUUAUUCUGUUUCCAAUAUCUUCUUCAUGAUUAGUUAAAUGGAAAGAUGGAUAAUGUGCCUCAGGUUCCCGGUCAUUCCAAAUCUAUUUUUCUGUAUUGAUUAUUGCAAUGUUUACGAGCAACUAUGGUCAGAACAGAACAUUUACAUCACAUAACAGUGUGGUCUGUGGGGACAGCAAGUUUACAAAGCCAUUGAAAGUGGAUUUGCAGAGAGCUGACAGAUAACUACAAUGAUUAUCAUUGUGACAGUCUCAGUGGGAAUCUGUUUUAAUCUAAUUAACAUAACAGUGGCAACACAAUGGCAAUCAAAAUUAGAAGGACUAAAGAACUCUUCUAUUAUGUAGCCAGUGUGACUGACUGGAAAAGAGAGACCAUGGGAUGAAUGCAGAAAAGGAGUAUUCUUGAGGGUGAUUAACGGAUCAAAGAAGCUUUUUUUCUUUUGUACCCAUAAAGUUAAGCUGGGACUUCAUUUUUUUUUUCACACCAUGUACUCUAAGCACCAGUUUAAGGUAUUCUGAGUUGCCUUCUCUAUAUCUACAUGCCCUUGCGUUGACUGCACUACCAAGAUAGCUUUGGUUCUCUGAACUGUACAUAAGUUAGAUGUACAGAGUGAGCAAAAGCUGAAGUUUCUGCCCAGGUUCAAAUUUGUAAAAGGAAGCUACACUGCAAUUUUGAGAUGAGCUUAGAAAGUUAAGCAAGAGGAACUGUGGAAGGUAGGA
ensembl:lncRNA